rnacentral:lncRNA from 1 species
GAGCCAGGAGCUCAAGAGUCUCUCUCUGAGUGCAGAGAGAGAAGGGCCUGACUGCAGGGAGCUAGACAGGAUACCUGAGUGGAGCAGGGCUGGGGAAAGGCUGGGGAGCUCCAGCCUGGAUAGCCCCAGGCUGUGGCCUGGUAAUAGGUCAAGGGGUACUGAGGGUUGCAGAGGGCAGCCCAGGGCUAGGCCAAGGCAGCAGGUCUGAACCCAACCUUGCCGAUGAUGAGUGGCCUAUACUGCAGUCUGCCCCAGAGAGUGGGGGCUAGCUGGUGACUGGCAGUGGCCUUAUCCUGAGGUGAGGUGGGCUUAGUGGGUGGGGGUUCCCCUGGGAGGGGAGACCUAGCGUGUGUGGAUACUGCCAGGGGGCAGCACCCAGAGCAAGGGGCACCGGGGUCCUGGGAGGGACAUGGGAGCCUGAGUGCAGAGGACAGGCGGAUCACUGGCCUGCAGAGGGCGCUCCAGAGGCUGGAGAACUAAUUCCCUGGACGACCAGCAGGAGGCGCCGCAGGGGUGAGUCUUACACUUGUACAUUGGACAUAGUCCAGAACCUAAAAGAAUGCUGAAUUAGAUAUUCUACAAGUUUUUAAUUUUAAUAUUCUGUCAGAAGCAAUUGACUUUACCCAUUUUCUCUCUUCUCCAAAACAUCCAGAAGCAUUUCCUUUAUGGUUUUUACAGCAACAUGUUAGGUGCAAGUCAAAGAUUCAGUGAAGUUUUAUUUCCUGUUGGCUGUUUCCUUUCUUUCCUGUUUCCAAAGUCACUUUGCUUUUAAUUUAUGAUUUCUAGCAGCCUGACGAGAGUACAAGAUAUGGGCUGCAGUUUUUAGGACCCGUGGGGGCUGAGCUUUUGGUACUUUCUGGUAGAAGCUGAAGCAGGUUACUGUGGAUGAGAAGCUGACAACAAAUUGGAGAAGGCAAAGAAGUUGCAUGCAGAGGCAUGUGUCCUCAAGUGAAUACAAAAUGGAGUGACAAAUGCUUUUGUCCAUAUCUUACUAAGGCCAACUUCCCCAUUCAUCAAAAGAAAGCCUUUAAGGUACAGGUUCCUGGCCUUGUUAUCAGGGUCUAUCACCUGAGGAAGCAUUUCCUGUGCCCCACCCUCCAUCAGAAGUGUGGUAUAGGAAAGAAGAGGAGAGACAAAAGCUAUGUUGAAACAGUCUACCUACGGGGGAAUCUGUGA